rnacentral:rRNA from 1 species
CCUACGGGAGGCAGCAGUGGGGAAUAUUGGACAAUGGGCGAAAGCCUGAUCCAGCCAUGCCGCGUGUGUGAAGAAGGUCUUCGGAUUGUAAAGCACUUUAAGUUGGGAGGAAGGGCAUUAACCUAAUACGUUAGUGUUUUGACGUUACCGACAGAAUAAGCACCGGCUAACUCUGUGCCAGCAGCCGCGGUAAUACAGAGGGUGCAAGCGUUAAUCGGAAUUACUGGGCGUAAAGCGCGCGUAGGUGGUUUGUUAAGUUGGAUGUGAAAGCCCCGGGCUCAACCUGGGAACUGCAUCCAAAACUGGCAAGCUAGAGUACGGUAGAGGGUGGUGGAAUUUCCUGUGUAGCGGUGAAAUGCGUAGAUAUAGGAAGGAACACCAGUGGCGAAGGCGACCACCUGGACUGAUACUGACACUGAGGUGCGAAAGCGUGGGGAGCAAGCAGGAUUAGAUACCCUGGUAGUCCACGCCGUAAACGAUGUCAACUAGCCGUUGGAAUCCUUGAGAUUUUAGUGGCGCAGCUAACGCAUUAAGUUGACCGCCUGGGGAGUACGGCCGCAAGGUUAAAACUCAAAUGAAUUGACGG